CCUACGGGAGGCAGCAGUGAGGAAUAUUGGUCAAUGGACGAGAGUCUGAACCAGCCAAGUAGCGUGAAGGAUGACUGCCCUAUGGGUUGUAAACUUCUUUUAUAUGGGAAUAAAACGUUCCACGUGUGGGUUUUUGUAUGUACCAUAUGAAUAAGGAUCGGCUAACUCCGUGCCAGCAGCCGCGGUAAUACGGAGGAUCCGAGCGUUAUCCGGAUUUAUUGGGUUUAAAGGGAGCGUAGGUGGAUUGUUAAGUCAGUUGUGAAAGUUUGCGGCUCAACCGUAAAAUUGCAGUUGAUACUGGCAGUCUUGAGUACAGUAGAGGUAGGCGGAAUUCGUGGUGUAGCGGUGAAAUGCUUAGAUAUCACGAAGAACUCCGAUUGCGAAGGCAGCUCACUGAACUGCAACUGACACUGAGGCUCGAAAGUGUGGGUAUCAAACAGGAUUAGAUACCCGUGUAGUC
rnacentral:rRNA from 1 species